rnacentral:tRNA from 1 species
GUUCUUUUGGUGUAGUGGUAGCACACGGCUCUGUCCAAGCCGUAGUGAGGGUUCGAUUCCCUCAGGGAACGC